rnacentral:rRNA from 1 species
UGGCCAAACUACCCUUCGGAGCACCAUACCCUCGGGAAACUGAGGCUAAUAGUGCAUCCCGCACUCACCCUGGAAUGGCGAGUGCGUCAAACGCUCCGGCGCCGAAGGAUGUGGCUGCGGCCGAUUAGGUAGACGGUGGGGUAACGGCCCACCGUGCCGAUAUCGGUACGGGUCAUGAGAGUGAGAACCCGGAGACGGAAUCUGAGACAAGAUUCCGGGCCCUACGGGGCGCAGCAGGCGCGAAACCUUUACACUGCACGACAGUGCGAUAAGGGGAUCCCAAGUGCACAGGCAUAGAGCCUGUGCUUUUGUACACCCUAGGGAGGUGUCCGAAUAAGGGCUGGGCAAGACCGGUGCCAGCCGCCGCGGUAAUACCGGCAGCCCAAGUGAUGGCCGAUCUUAUUGGGCCUAAAGCGUCCGUAGCUGGCCGCGCAAGUCCAUCGGGAAAUCCACCCGCUCAACGGGUGGACGUCCGGUGGAAACUGCACGGCUUGGGACCGGAAGGCGCGACGGGUACGUCCGGGGUAGGAGUGAAAUCCCGUAAUCCUGGACGGACCGCCGAUGGCGAAAGCACGCCGCGAGAACGGAUCCGACAGUGAGGGACGAAAGCUAGGGUCUCGAACCGGAUUAGAUACCCGGGUAGUCCUAGCCGUAAACAAUGCCUGCUAGGUGUGGCUCCCACUACGAGUGGGUGCUGUGCCGUAGGGAAGCCGCUAAGCAGGCCGCCUGGGAAGUACGUCCGCAAGGAUGAAACUUAAAGGAAUUGGCGGGGGAGCACUACAACCGGAGGAGCCUGCGGUUUAAUUGGACUCAACGCCGGACAUCUCACCAGCAUCGACUGUGGUAAUGACGGUCAGGUUGAUGACCUCGCCACGAGCCACAGAGAGGAGGUGCAUGGCCGCCGUCAGCUCGUACCGUGAGGCGUCCUGUUAAGUCAGGCAACGAGCGAGACCCGCAUCCGUACUUGCCAGCAACACUGCGAAGUGGUUGGGGACAGUACGGAGACUGCCGUGGCCAACACGGAGGAAGGAACGGGCAACGGUAGGUCAGUAUGCCCCGAAUGUGCUGGGCAACACGCGGGCUACAAUGGUCAGGACAAAGGGUUCCUACUCCGAAAGGAGACGGUAAUCUCAGAAACCUGAUCGUAGUUCGGAUUGUGGGCUGCAACUCGCCCACAUGAAGCUGGAUUCGGUAGUAAUCGCGUGUCACAAGCGCGCGGUGAAUACGUCCCUGCUCCUUGCACACACCGCCCGUCAAAGCA